UUUUUCCGCUCAUCAGAUGGAGGCUCAUUCUCUCACACACAUACACAACACCCAUUUUGGAGGUUGAGGUUUGUGUGUGUGUGCACAAAAGAGUGGAGGAAAUGAAAGUGUGAAAUAUUAAGGUUGUGUAAGGCGUAGUUUCAGUCAGUGUCUGUCUGCACAGCCGUCAUGAGGUCGCUCGUCUGUCUUCCUUUCUGCCUGGUGCUGUUUCUGCUCUGUCUCACUGCGGAAGCAAGUCAUCAUUCUUCAACCUGCUGUUUGAAGACAAGCAAAGACAGAAUACACAAAAACAGAGUGGUGAGUUACACAGUCCAGAAAGCAGGAGUCUGCCCUAUCAACGCAAUUGUCUUGUUGACCGUAAAAGGGAAAAUGAGGUGUUUUGAUCCAGACUCAGAAUGGAUCAAAGAAAUUAUGGACCAGAAAAAAAUGACUGAUCCAAAAGCCUUGCCAAGCCAAAAUGCCAAAAGACAGAAAAAAAAUAACAAAGGAAAGAGACGCAGACAAAAGAAUCAAAAUAAAUUUUGAGUUGUUUGUUUGCUUAUGUAAUGUAUUGCUUGACCUGUGCCAACUGACAUAAACCUUAAUUUGUAAGAUGUCAAAAAUAAGUAUUCAUGACUAUUUUAUGCUGAAUGUUUACAUUAUCGAUCUAUUUUGAAAUGAAUUUAUUCUGCUUCACAAAUUUUAUAAUCUCUUGCCAAGAAUGUAUUUUGUAUUCAAUAUUUUUAUAGUUUCAAAAACAUGUAAUAUUGCAAAAUAAAUAAGUUGUGCAGAUUUGAUUUUGGAAUUAUUAUUAAAUAAAUUAAGAAAAAAUAUAACGACCA
ensembl:lncRNA eotaxin-like